rnacentral:rRNA from 1 species
GAUGAACGCUGGCGGCGUGCCUAAUACAUGCAAGUCGAGCGAACAGACGAGGAGCUUGCUCCUCUGACGUUAGCGGCGGACGGGUGAGUAACACGUGGAUAACCUACCUAUAAGACUGGGAUAACUUCGGGAAACCGGAGCUAAUACCGGAUAAUAUAUUGAACCGCAUGGUUCAAUAGUGAAAGACGGUUUUGCUGUCACUUAUAGAUGGAUCCGCGCCGCAUUAGCUAGAUGGUAAGGUAACGGCUUACCAAGGCAACGAUGCGUAGCCGACCUGUGAGGGUGAUCGGCCACACUGGAACUGAGACACGGUCCAGACUCCUACGGGAGGCAGCAGUAGGGAAUCUUCCGCAAUGGGCGAAAGCCUGACGGAGCAACGCCGCGUGAGUGAUGAAGGUCUUCGGAUCGUAAAACUCUGUUAUUAGGGAAGAACAAAUGUGUAAGUAACUAUGCACGUCUUGACGGUACCUAAUCAGAAAGCCACGGCUAACUACGUG